AACGCUGGCGUGCGUGCCUAACACUGCAAUCUAACGAGAAAGCCUUAAUCUUCGGAUGGGCGAUAAAGUGGCGCACGGGUGAUAACGCGUAGGUAACCUACCCCCGGGCACCGGAAUAACAGUGCGAAAGUGCUGCUAAUACCGGAUACAUUGUGGAGCGGGAGCUUUGCGAUGAAAGUCGGCCUCUCGCAAAAGCCGAUGUUCGGGGAUGGGCCUGCGUCCUAUCAGCUGGUUGGUAGGGUAACGGCCUACCAAGGCGACGACGGGUACUGGUCUGAGAGGAUGAUCAGCCACUCUGGCACUGGAACACGGGCAACUCCUACGGGAGGCAUCAUGAGGAAUUUUGCGCAAUGGCCGCAAGGCUGACGCAGCAACGCCCGUGGGUGAAGAAGGCCUUCGGGUCUUAAAGCCCUGUCAGGUGGGAAGAACACCAUGGGGACGAACAAGCUUCAUGGCUGACGGUACCACCAGAGGAAGCACCGGCUAACUCCGUGCCAGCGCCGCGGUAAUACGGAGGGUGCGAGCGUUAUUCGGAAUUACUGGGCGUAAAGCGCGUGCAGGCGGUUUGGCAAGUCUGAAUGUGAAAGCCCCGGGCUUAACCUGGGAAGUGCAUUGGAAACUGCCGGACUUGAGUACUGGAGAGGAAGGGGGAAUUCCCGGUGUAGAGGUGAAAUUCGUAGAGAUCGGGAGGAAUACCAGUGGCGAAGCGCCCUUCUGGACGGUUACUGACGCUGAGACGCGAAAGCGUGGGGAGCAACAGGAUUAGAUACCCUGGUAGUCCACGCUGUAACGAUGACCUAGGUGUAGCGGGUACUCAUUCCUGCUGUGCCGCAGCUAACGCGUUUAUGCUCCCCUGGGGAUUACCGUCCCAAAAUAAACUCAAGAAUUGACCGGGGCCCCCGCGCCAGCGGUGGAUUGUGGUUUUAUUCGUCGCACGCGAAGACCUUACCUGGGCUUGACAUCCCCGGACGCCCCUGGAAACAGGGAUUCCCCUUCGGGGGACCGGGAGACAGGUGCUGCAUGGCUGCGUCAGCUCGUGUCGUGAGAUGUUGGGUUAAGUCCCGCAACGAGCGCAACCCCUGCCUUUAGUUGCCAUCAUUGAGUUGGGCACUCAGAGGGACUGCCGGUGUGAAACCGGAGGAAGGUGGGGAUGACGUCAAGUCCUCAUGCCCUUUAUGCCCAGGGCUACACACGUACUACAAUGGGCGGUACAAAGGGAAGCGAGUCCGCGAGGAGGAGCCAACCCCAAAAAGCCGUUCACAGUUCGGAUCGGAGUCUGCAACUCGACUCCGUGAAGUUGGAAUCGCUAGUAAUCGCGGAUCAGCAUGCCGCGGUAUACGUUCCCGGGCCUUGUACACACCGCCCGUCACACCACGAAAGUCGGCUGUACCAGAA
rnacentral:rRNA from 1 species